rnacentral:tRNA from 1 species
GGGUCCAUAGUUCAGUGGCAGAACGCUGUCCUGAUAAGACAGAGGUCGAAGGUCCGAUUCCUUCUGGACCCA